CUCUGUAGUUGGUGAAAGACCCCCAGAGUGGGGAGACCCUCACUCAAGUCUCGGGAUAAGCCGAUGCCCCAAUAAUUCAAGAGAGACC
rnacentral:pre_miRNA from 11 species